rnacentral:lncRNA from 1 species
UCCGUUUCGGCCUGACGAGGACGUCAGGAAUUUAAAUGGGGGAGUUUGUAACGCUCCAGUCCCAUCGUGGAGUGUGGAGACUUUAGUUCAGUUUAUAAGCAUAAGUACUACUACUAAUUACACCAACAAAUCAUGAAUUUUUGGGGCUUGUGGUGGGCUUAUGGAUUACCCAAGUUGUUGCAAUUGGGCAAGUAUAUUUAGGCUUAUUUUCAGAUUCGGAAUUCGGGACUUGACCUGAUUUUCAGAAAAGACUCGGGAUUUGACCCGGGUUGUCACAGCAUACAUCAUAGGUUAGAACUAGAAACAUAU